AUGCCAGUCACCAAUGUUUGUGUGUUAGAUGGUAAAGAAGAGCUAGUAUUCAUGGAGCUAAUCAGUAGGAGCUGCCACCACCAGAUGUCACUAACUCCACCCCUCACCAAUAAUCGAUUCGAAAGUGCUGGGUUCCAAUGCCAUUUUAAGGUUUACAAUCCCUGGAAGGGCUCAGAUGAAAAUGAGGCAGCAACCAUAUGGUUCCAG
rnacentral:lncRNA from 10 species